rnacentral:rRNA from 1 species
UGCAGUCGAACGAUGAUGCCCAGCUUGCUGGGUGGAUUAGUGGCGAACGGGUGAGUAACACGUGAGUAACCUGCCCUUGACUUCGGGAUAACUCCGGGAAACCGGGGCUAAUACCGGAUAUGAGCCGCCUUCGCAUGGGGGUGGUUGGAAAGUUUUUCGGUCAGGGAUGGGCUCGCGGCCUAUCAGCUUGUUGGUGGGGUGAUGGCCUACCAAGGCGACGACGGGUAGCCGGCCUGAGAGGGCGACCGGCCACACUGGGACUGAGACACGGCCCAGACUCCUACGGGAGGCAGCAGUGGGGAAUAUUGCACAAUGGGCGAAAGCCUGAUGCAGCGACGCCGCGUGAGGGAUGAAGGCCUUCGGGUUGUAAACCUCUUUCAGCAGGGAAGAAGCGCAAGUGACGGUACCUGCAGAAGAAGCGCCGGCUAACUACGUGCCAGCAGCCGCGGUAAUACGUAGGGCGCAAGCGUUGUCCGGAAUUAUUGGGCGUAAAGAGCUCGUAGGCGGUUUGUCGCGUCUGGUGUGAAAACUCGAGGCUCAACCUCGAGCUUGCAUCGGGUACGGGCAGACUAGAGUGCGGUAGGGGAGACUGGAAUUCCUGGUGUAGCGGUGGAAUGCGCAGAUAUCAGGAGGAACACCGAUGGCGAAGGCAGGUCUCUGGGCCGCAACUGACGCUGAGGAGCGAAAGCAUGGGGAGCGAACAGGAUUAGAUACCCUGGUAGUCCAUGCCGUAAACGUUGGGCACUAGGUGUGGGGCUCAUUCCACGAGUUCCGUGCCGCAGCAAACGCAUUAAGUGCCCCGCCUGGGGAGUACGGCCGCAAGGCUAAAACUCAAAGGAAUUGACGGGGGGCCCGCACAAGCGGCGGAGCAUGCGGAUUAAUUCGAUGCAACGCGAAGAACCUUACCAAGGCUUGACAUGCAC